GCGCUCGUAGCUCAGCUGGAUAGAGCAACAGACUUCGGAUCUGUAGGUUAUGGGUUCGAUUCCUAUCGGGCGCACCA
rnacentral:tRNA from 1 species